UACGAAGGGGGCUAGCGUUGUUCGGAAUUACUGGGCGUAAAGCGCGCGCAGGCGGUGAUGUAAGACAGGGGUGAAAUCCCCGGGCUUAACCUGGGAACUGCAUUUGUGACUGCAUCGCUGGAGUGCGGCAGAGGGGGAUGGAAUUCCGCGUGUAGCAGUGAAAUGCGUAGAUAUGCGGAGGAACACCGAUGGCGAAGGCAAUCCCCUGGGCCUGCACUGACGCUCAUGCACGAAAGCGUGGGGAGCAAACAGG
rnacentral:rRNA from 1 species